GACGAACGCUGGCGGCGUGCCUAAUACAUGCAAGUCGAACGCAGUGGGGACGGGUGAGUAACACGUGGGUAACCUCCCAUCUGACGGGAUAACCCUUGGAAACAGGUGCUAAAACCGAUACUGAUGGAUGGACCCGCGGUGCAUUAGCCAGUCGGUGAGGUAAUGGCUCACCAAGGCCACGAUGCAGAGCCGGCCUGAUAGGGUGAUCGGCCACACUGGGACUGAGACACGGCCCAGACUCCUACGGGAGGCAGCAGUAGGGAAUCUUCGGCAAUGGACGAAAGUCUGACCGAGCAACGCCGCGUGAAUGAAGAAGGUUUUCGGAUCGUAAAACUCUGUUGUUAGAGAAGCGUUAUCUAACCAGAAAGCCACGGCUAACUACGUGCCAGCAGCCGCGGUAAUAC
rnacentral:rRNA from 1 species